rnacentral:rRNA from 1 species
AUAAGUAAAGAUAAUAAGGGCGUACGGUGGAUGCCUUGGCGAUAUCAGCCGAAGAAGGACGCGGUAAGCUGCGAAAAGCUACGGAGAGGUGCAAGCAACCUUUGACCCGUAGGUAUCCGAAUGGGGGAACCCGGCAGUGGUUAUGCACUGUCACCCAUA